rnacentral:lncRNA from 1 species
UUAGACCUGUGUUUUCUGGGAGCUGUAACUGGAAUUCUCUAUAAGCCAAUUAAACUCCUUUUGACGAGUUCAGGGGAAUCAGCGUGUUUGUGUUGGCUUGCCGGGCCUUCAAGGCUCACAGACUUAGCCAGCUCAGGCACAGUUCGGCAGCCAGAGAAGGCAUUAGUCUCCCCCACAUAUCUACCCUGCAGGCUUCAUGGUGAAGAGCAAUGCCAGGGAGUUCAAGUGAUUACUUGCUUUAGGGAAACAAAAGCCAACAACCCAAGAAUCAACGUCCCCAAGAAAAGGUCAAUAGGCCUCAGUGCUGUAAUGGAUGUAACAAAUAUUUAAAUAAGGAUAAUAUAAAAAUGUGUUUGCUCAUUGAUUUAUUUCCAAUGACUUGGCUUUCACUCCACUGAGUGGUUCACAAAUUCAAACUUGAUUUCUGCUGACACGUUAGCCACACCGCUUCUCUUUUCCUUCCUUCCAUCUGCCUUUCAAUCACAUUUCACAGUCCCUUCCAAAAGGACCACAAAGUAUAGCACCAGCGAUAUUCUCAGUCUAUCAAAUGACUACAUAUUAAGUGGCUUUGUAAAGCAGUGAACCUGAGCCAAGUUUCUGUACAAUGCCGAGGAAAAGCCAGGGCUCUGGAGAGACUGGUCCAGGCCACAGGGAAUGGCCAGGCCCACUUCAAUCCUAACCAUCAGAGUAGCUUCUUCCCUUCCCAAAGCUUGAGUCCUACGGGAGGAAGAAGACGAGGAUCUCCUUGAAUUUAGAAUUGCAAUACGUCUCAGCUGGAAGGGCCCCAAGAGAUCCCCUAGUUUAGCCCAAGGAAGCAAAGUUUGGGCCACUAUAAAGAGAACUGCCCAAGAUCCUCAACUGAUAUACAGGGGAAAACAAGAGAGGAAGAAUACUGGCCUUCAGGAUGCUGCCCGCUUCUCCCUUCUGCCCACCCAGCAGCAUGCAAGCAAGCAUGCUUCAACUUAAUCAUAAGUGAACCUCAAACCACAGCUGAGGAUUGUUUUGAUUCUUGCUUGGAAAUAAUCCCAGUGCCUUCUUGGGUGGAAUGAAGUAUGUGAGGUGGGAGAAGAGGUCCCAGGCGGGAUUAUCUGCUACACAGACUGAUCUUUGUACCCACUUCCAUGUGCAUUCCCAUGCGCUCUGUCUUCGAAAGCCAUGGGGUGCUAGUGGUUCUCUCCCAACAUUUUUUCAUGAAAAUUUCCCGUGGGCACUCCAGCACCAUGUCAAGAUCAUUGACUGUAGACUCGUCACUACACCCACUGGUCUCUCAAAGAGGACAGAAAAAGCUACAGCCUUUCACUACAGUUCUUCUUUCAACUCAGUCUCCCCUCCUCGAGCAAAAGCUACCUGAGGACAAGGGCUUUCCCUGGCCUGUUCACAAGUCUACAUCCCCAGUGCCUGGAACUGUGCCUGGCAGAAUCUCAAAUGCCUUCAGAAGUGAGGCAAGUGACAGCAACGAGCGAUGAGGACUGGGUGUAAAGCAAGACGGCAGAGCGUGCACUUCCAUGCUCAGUGGAAAGCUUUCA